rnacentral:misc_RNA from 1 species
GAUGAGAACGUAGCGAAAUGCGAUAAGUAAUGUGAAUUGCAGAAUUCAGUGAAUCAUCGAAUCUUUGAACGCACCUUGCACCCUUUGGCAUUCCGAAGGGUAUGCUCGUUUGAGUGUCAUUGUACUCUCACACUCUCCGAUCCUAUGGAUUCGGGGAGCGGUGGACUUGGGUGUUGCUGCCUUUCCCUGUGGCUCACCUCAAAUGCGUCAGUGCACCUCUUGGUUGGACAUAGUACGGCGUGAUAAGUGUCUUCGCCGGCACCUCGCAAGAGGGUGGCCGAUCGGGAGCUCUGCGCUUUCAAACCGUCUUCGGACAAUUUCUGACAUCUUGACCUCAAAUCGAGUAGGACUACCCGCUGAACUUAAGCAUAUCAAUAAGCGGAGGA